rnacentral:tRNA from 1 species
GCCGAGGUGAUGGAACGGUAGACAUGAUAGACUCAAAAUCUAUUGAUCGCAAGAUCAUGAGGGUUCGAUUCCCUCCCUCGGCA